AUGAGCAUUUAUAAAUUAUAACUUACGAAAAUAUGAUCGUUUAGGUCCAAGUUGUAGUUUAGGCUAUUUUUCUGCCUUACAUGUAAGUUCAAAUUAGAGAAAAUUUCUAUUUAAAUAAUAUUUCGGUUAAACUCAGUAGGUGAAACUGGUUUUAAGGCAAGCUAGCUCCGGUAAGAAAAAAAGAAUUGGUAAAUGGCGUGCCAGCAUCCGCGGUCAUACGCUGAUUUCUCGUCAAAAGAUUUAUAUAAAACAGUAUCUAGUUAAAAAUUAUAUGUUAGGCUUAUAGGCUGGGUAGAAUCUUUCUAUACUCCUCAAUUUUAAUUAUUUAGGUGCAAGAGAAAGUGUUAAUAACCAGGAUUAGAUACCCUGCUACCGCUUUUGAAAAAGUUUUAGACUAAUAAUAAUAAAUAAAAUUUAUUGGAUUUGGCGGCAAAAUACCCUUUUAGAGGAACCUGCCCUAUAAACGAUGGUCCACGAUUUCCUGACUUCCUUUUGUAACCAGUUUAUAUACCGCUGUUGCCAGUUAGUUUCUCUAGAAAUUUAUCUAAAAUUUAAUAUAAAAGGACUUCAAGUAAAGGUGUAGCUUAUAAGGAAGAAAGAGGUGGGUUACAAUUGGCUGAUCAACUACGAAUAAGUGCAUGAAAAAACUUUGAAGGAGGAUUUAAUGGUAAAAUUUCUAUAUAGUAAAUUUGAUCUGAGUAAUAUUUUGUGCACAAACCGCCCGUCGCUCUCUAUUAUGAGAUAAGUCGUAACAAGGUGAGUGUAACGGAAGUUGUACUCGU
rnacentral:rRNA from 1 species